rnacentral:rRNA from 1 species
AAGCGGAGGAAAAGAAACUAACAAGGAUUCCCCUAGUAGCGGCGAGCGAAGCGGGAAGAGCUCAAAUUUAUAAUCUGGCACCUUCGGUGUCCGAGUUGUAAUCUCUAGAAGUGUUUUCCGCGUUGGACCGCACACAAGUCUGUUGGAAUACAGCGGCAUAGUGGUGAAACCCCCGUAUAUGGUGCGGACGCCCAGCGCUUUGUGAUACACUUUCAAUGAGUCGAGUUGUUUGGGAAUGCAGCUCAAAUUGGGUGGUAAAUUCCAUCUAAAGCUAAAUAUUGGCGAGAGACCGAUAGCGAACAAGUACCGUGAGGGAAAGAUGAAAAGCACUUUGGAAAGAGAGUUAACAGUACGUGAAAUUGUUGGAAGGGAAACGCUUGAAGUCAGACUUGCUUGCCGGAGCUUGCUUCGGUUUGCAGGCCAGCAUCAGUUUUCCGGGGUGGAUAAUAACGGUUUGAAGGUAGCAGUCUCGGCUGUGUUAUAGCUUUCCGUUGGAUACAUCCUGGGGGACUGAGGAACGCAGCGUGCUUUUUGCGAAAGACUCGUCUUUUUCACGCUUAGGAUGCGGGAAGG